GACGAACGCUGGCGGCGUGCUUAACACAUGCAAGUCGAACGGAAAGGCCCUGGUUUGGUGCGGUGCUCGAGGGGCGAACGGGUGAGUAACACUUGGGUAACCUGCACUUGACGUUGGGAUAACUUCAGGAAACUGGGGCUAAUACCGGAUAGGAGCUCCUGCUGCAUGGUGGGGGUUGGAAAGUUUCGGCGGUUGGGGAUGGACUGGCGGCUUAUCAGCUUGUUGGUGGGGUAGUGGAUUACCAAGGCUUUGACGGGUAGCCGGCCUGAGAGGGUGACCGGCCACAUUAGGUCUGAGAUGAGACCCAGACUCCUACGGGACGCAACAGUGGAGAAUAUAGCACAAUGGGCGGAAGCCUGAUGCAACAACGCCGCGUGGGGGAUAACGGCCUUCGGGUUGUAAUCCGCUUUCGCCUGUGACGAGGCGCGAGUGACGGUAAUGGGUAAAGAAGCACCGGCUAACUACGUG
rnacentral:rRNA from 1 species